rnacentral:rRNA from 1 species
GACGAACGCUGGCGGCGUGCCUAAUACAUGCAAGUAGAACGCUGAAGGGGGAGCUUGCUUCUCUGGAUGAGUUGCGAACGGGUGAGUAACGCGUAGGUAACCUGCCUGGUAGCGGGGGAUAACUAUUGGAAGCGAUAGCUAAUACCGCAUAAGAGUAGAUGUCGCAUGACAUUUGCUUAAAAGGUGCAAUUGCAUCACUACCAGAUGGACCUGCGUUGUAUUAGCUAGUUGGUGAGGUAACGGCUCACCAAGGCAACGAUACAUAGCCGACCUGAGAGGGUGAUCGGCCACACUGGGACUGAGACACGGCCCAGACUCCUACGGGAGGCAGCAGUAGGGAAUCUUCGGCAAUGGACGGAAGUCUGACCGAGCAACGCCGCGUGAGUGAAGAAGGUUUUCGGAUCGUAAAGCUCUGUUGUAAGAGAAGAACGAGUGUGAGAGUGGAAAGUUCACACUGUGACGGUAUCUUACCAGAAAGGGACGGCUAACUACGUG